AAGAUAAAGGCUCUAAAGUUUUCGCCACGUCCCAGCAGAAUAGCAACGCAAGAAGAAUAAAUGGUGGAUAGACUUAAACAGCCAUUGAAUAGAGGAGACAAGCUUCAUCAACCAUUACUCUUCAGCUUCUCAAUCUAUCUGUUGUGGAUCUUGCGGUCUGGGUUGUGGAACCGAACCGAAGUCUUGCGGACCAAAUGUGGGAUCUUGAACUUGAGUUGGGUUUGAUGAGGUAAAUGAGAUAAACUUAGAGUUUGCAUAGACGGUGUCUUGAGCCUCGUGAUCGUACUCAACCCAUGAUGAUGAAGAUGAUGAUGUUGGUAAUGGUGGAGCAGAGGGCUCAUAUGGCGGACAGUAAUAUUGGUACUGACAAUGGCAUGGUGGUGGUGGUGGGUUAUCAAUGAACAAUGCCUUCUUCUUCUUCUUCUGCUUUCUUGACCAGAACUUGAGCUUCUUCACGGCCUUCAUCAUCUUCAUGGCUGGCCUUCUUGUUUUUCGUGGAGAAAAUGAAAAAAGUCCACUGGUGCUGUAUUGUUCAGCGGAAUCUUGUAAGUUGAUUUAUUCAAAUAGAAGAGAUAACUUGGCUGUGGCAAAGUACGGAUCUGGAAGUGGAAGCGAGAUUUGAUAGUCUUACGGAGGACACUUGACAAAGCAUUCAAAGACAGAGAAGUUAAAAAACUUCUGCAACUCUCACCAGCUCCUUUUUCAUGAGUCCUGAAGCCGUCGGAAAUUAACUUCAGGAAAAUUGUUGUGGAAGUCAUUUUCCACCCGGUGGCGUGAAAACAUUUUCCAGCUGAAAUAAUUUUCCAACCUCUUUUGCUUCCAAACACCAGAAAUUCUGGAAAACCUUUUCGGGAAAAUAUUUUCAGUCCAAACAAACAUACCC